GAAAGAAAGAAAGAAACCGAGGCCAGGGUUUCUAGACAGUGUCUUAGAGACCAGAAGCUAACUAAAAAAAAAAAAAAAAAAUCUUGGAUUCCUGAGUACGGAAUUUCGAGACUAGGAACCCGAGGAGAUACUCAGGAGACUCAGUGUGGACACGCCAGAAAUUCAGGUGGAAACAGUGACUUGAGGCCGGCGCAUUCCUGUUCGUGACAAAACCACAGGCACAGACGCUGGUGUGCUCUACAUCUUUAGAACACAAACGUGCUGGAUCAGGCUUGGCACAUGACGCAAAGUGGGGGCGAGUCUGGAAUAUGAAUAAAUAAGAGCCUCCA